rnacentral:rRNA from 1 species
GGGGAAUAUUGCACAAUGGGCGCAAGCCUGAUGCAGCGACGCCGCGUGAGGGAUGACGGCCUUCGGGUUGUAAACCUCUUUUGUUAGGGAGCAAGCGUAAGUGAGUGUACCUUUCGAAUAAGCACCGGCUAACUACGUGCCAGCAGCCGCGGUAAUACGUAGGGUGCAAGCGUUAUCCGGAAUUAUUGGGCGUAAAGAGCUCGUAGGCGGCUUGUCGCGUCCGGUGUGAAAGUCCAUCGCUUAACGGUGGAUCUGCGCCGGGUACGGGCAGGCUAGAAUGCGGUAGGGGAGACUGGAAUUCCCGGUGUAACGGUGGAAUGUGUAGAUAUCGGGAAGAACACCAAUGGCGAAGGCGGGUUGCUGGACCGAAACUGACGCUGAGACGCGAAAGCGUGGGUAGCAAACA